rnacentral:rRNA from 1 species
UUAAACCUCUUCCAGAGUCUCAAUUGGAGGCCAAGUCCGGUGCCAGCAGCCGCGGUAAUUCCAGCUACAAUAUCGUAUAUUAAAAUUGCUGCAGUUAAAAAGCUGGUAGUUGAAUUUCUGCCGCCCCGCCUCUGCCCCUCGACGGGCGUUUGCGCCGCGGCUUUUUCGGAUUAUGCUUGCAUUUUCCGAGCGUUACUUUGAGAAAAUUAGAGUGCUCAAAGCAGGCUUUUGCCUUGAAUAGUUUAGCAUGGAAUAAUAAAGUAGGACUUUGGUUUUAUUUUCUUGGUUUUAGGUCCCAAAGUAAUGGUUAAUAGGAACAGUUGGGGGCAUUUGUAUUCAACUGUCAGAGGUGAAAUUAUUAGAUUUGUUAAAGCGAACUACUGCGGAAACAUUUGCCAAGGAUGUUUUCAUUAAUCAAGAACGAAAGUUAGGGGAUCGAAGACGAUCAGAUACCGUAGUAGUCAUACCCAUAAAAUAUACCGACUAGAGAUUGGAGGUCGUCAGUUUUUACGACUCCUUCAGCACCGGAGAGAAAUCAAAGUCUUCGGGUUCUGGGGGGAGUAUGGUAAGCAAGUAGA